GGCGAUCGAAAAGAUUAAGCCAUGCAUGUAUAAGUUUAAUCGUUUUAACGAGAAACCGCGAACGGCUCAUUACAAUGGCCAUGAUUUACUUGAUCUUGAUUAUCUAAAUGGAUAACUGUGGAAAAGCUAGAGCUAAUACACGCACCAAAGCUUUGUCCUCUUGGAGAAGCGCAUUUAUUAGAACAAAACACGCGGCUUCGGCUGCUUCUUGUUGACUCAGAAUAACUAAGCUGACCGCAUGGCCUUGUGCCGGCGGCGUGUCUUUCAAGCGUCCACUUUAUCAACUUGACGGGAGCAUAAUCGACUCCCGUGGUGGUGACGGAUAACGGAGGAUCAGGGUUCGACUCCGGAGAAGGGGCCUGAGAAAUGGCCACUACGUCUAAGGAUGGCAGCAGGCGCGCAAAUUACCCACUCUCGGCUCGAGGAGGUAGUGACGAGAAAUAACGAGAUCGUUCUCUUUGAGGCCGGUCAUCGGAAUGGGUACAAUUUAAACCCUUUAACGAGUAUCAAGCAGAGGGCAAGUCUGGUGCCAGCAGCCGCGGUAAUUCCAGCUCUGCUAAUACAUAGAAUUAUUGCUGCGGUUAAAAAGCUCGUAGUUGGAUUCGUAUCGGUACCCUGGAACCCUCCGGGUGUUUCUGGGUGUUAUCGAUUUAUCGUAAUGUUCGGUUUUGAGUCCUUAACAGGAUUCUUAACAGGCAUUGCAAGUUUACUUUGAACAAAUCAGAGUGCUUCAAACAGGCGUUUUCGCUUGAAUGAUCGUGCAUGGAAUAAUAGAAAACGAUUUCGGUUCAGUUUUAUUGGUUUUACGGACUGAGAUAAUGGUUAACAGAGACAAACGGGGGCAUUUGUAUGGCCCCGUGAGAGGUGAAAUUCUUGGACCGUGGCCAGACAAACUACAGCGAAAGCAUUUGCCAAGAAUGUUUUUAUUAAUCAAGAACGAAAGUCAGAGGUUCGAAGGCGAUCAGAUACCGCCCUAGUUCUGACCGUAAACGAUGCCAACUAGCGAUCCGCCGAUGGAAAUUAUAUUGCCUUGGUGGGGAGCUUCCCGGAAACGAAAGUCUUCCGGUUCCGGGGGAAGUAUGGUUGCAAAGCUGAAACUUAAAGGAAUUGACGGAAGGGCACCACCAGGAGUGGAGCCUGCGGCUUAAUUUGACUCAACACGGGGAAACUCACCCGGCCCGGACACUGUGAGGAUUGACAGAUUGAUAGCUUUUUCAUGAUUCAGUGGAUGGUGGUGCAUGGCCGUUCUUAGUUCGUGGAGUGAUUUGUCUGGUUUAUUCCGAUAACGAGCGAGACUCUAACCUACUAAAUAGUUGGUGCAUACUCUUUGUGUAUACAGCUUCUUAGAGGGAUUUGCGGCGUUCAGCCGAAAGAAAUUGAGCAAUAACAGGUCUGUGAUGCCCUUAGAUGUCCGGGGCUGCACGCGCGCUACACUGGCAAAAUCAACGUGCUUGUCCUACCCUGAAAGGGGCGGGUAAACCAUUGAAAAUUUGCCGUGAUUGGGAUCGGAAAUUGCAAUUAUUUUCCGUGAACGAGGAAUUCCAAGUAAGUGCGAGUCAUCAGCUCGCGUUGAUUACGUCCCUGCCCUUUGUACACACCGCCCGUCGCUGCCCGGGACUGAGCCAUUUCGAGAAAUUUGGGGACCGUUGAUUUAAUUUUUCUAAAUUACUUUGAUGGAAACCAAUUUAAUCGCAGUGGCUUGAACC
rnacentral:rRNA from 1 species